rnacentral:rRNA from 1 species
GCUGGCGGCAGGCCUAACACAUGCAAGUCGAGCGCCCCGCAAGGGGAGCGGCAGACGGGUGAGUAACACGUGGGAACGUACCCUUCGGUUCGGAAUAGCCCGGGGAAACUCGGAGUAAUACCGAAUACGUCCGUAAGGAGAAAGAUUUAUCGCCGAAGGAUCGGCCCGCGUCUGAUUAGCUUGUUGGUGAGGUAACGGCUCACCAAGGCUACGAUCAGUAGCUGGUCUGAGAGGAUGAUCAGCCACACUGGGACUGAGACACGGCCCAGACUCCUACGGGAGGCAGCAGUGGGGAAUAUUGGACAAUGGGCGAAAGCCUGAUCCAGCCAUGCCGCGUGAGUGAUGAAGGCCCUAGGGUUGUAAAGCUCUUUCGGCGGGGAAGAUAAUGACGGUACCCGCAGAAGAAGCCCCGGCCAACUUCGUGCCAGCAGCCGCGGUAAUACGAAGGGGGCUAGCGUUGCUCGGAAUCACUGGGCGUAAAGCGCACGUAGGCGGAUUGUUAAGUCGGGGGUGAAAUCCUGGAGCUCAACUCCAGAACUGCCUUCGAUACUGGCGAUCUUGAGUCCGGG